rnacentral:rRNA from 1 species
GAAAUGCGUAGAGAUCGGGAGGAAUACCAGUGGCGAAGGCGGCCUUCUGGACUGACACUGACGCUGAGGCGCGAAAGCGUGGGUAGCAAACAGGAUUAGAUACCCUGGUAGUCCACGCCGUAAACGAUGUCGACCAGCCGUUGGCCCCCUUGAGGGGCUGGUGGCACAGUUAACGCACUAAGUCGACCGCCUGGGGAGUACGGCCGCAAGGCUAAAACUCAAAUGAAUUGACGGGGGCCCGCACAAGCGGUGGAGCAUGUGGUUUAAUUCGAUGCAACGCGAAGAACCUUACCUGCCCUUGACAUCCUGCGAAUCCGGUAGAGAUGCCGGAGUGCCUUCGGGAACGCAGAGACAGGUGCUGCAUGGCUGUCGUCAGCUCGUGUUGUGAAAUGUUGGGUUAAGUCCCGUAACGAGCGCAACCCCUGUCCCUUUUUGCCAGCGGUCCGGCCGGGAACUUCAGGGAGACUGCCGGUGACAAACCGGAGGAAGGUGGGGACGACGUCAAGUCAUCAUGGCCCUUACGGGCAGGGCUACACACGUGCUACAAUGGCCGGUACAGAGGGUUGCGAAGCCGCGAGGUGAAGCCAAUCCCGCAAAGCCGGCCUCAGUCCGGAUCGGAGUCUGCAACUCGACUCCGUGAAGUCGGAAUCGCUAGUAAUCGCGGAUCAGAAUGCCGCGGAGAAUACGUUCCCGGGCCUUGUACACACCGCCCG